rfam:Bacillus sp. FJAT-18017 genome.
GAUCUCGUAGCUCAGCCGGGAGAGCACUACCUUGACAGGGUAGGGGUCGCUGGUUCGAACCCAGUCGAGAUCA